CCUGCCUGCAGUUGCUCAUCCGGGCUUUUGCCCGGUGCACUCUUCUGCUGUCAGGCCAGCAUCAGUUCGGGCGGUCGGAUAAAGGCUUCGGGAAUGUAGCUCCUCUCGAGGAGUGUUAUAGCCCGUUGCGAAAUGCGGCCAGCUUGGACUGAGGUCCGCGCUUCGGCUAGGAUGCUGGCGUAAUGGUUGUAAGCGGCCCGUCUUGAAACACGGACCAAGGAGUCUAACAUCUGUGCGAGUGUUUGGGUGUCAAACCCGUACGCGUAAUGAAAGUGAACGGAGGCGGGAACCCCUCGGGGUGCACCGUCGACCGAUCCUGAUGUCUUCGGAUGGAUUUGAGUAAGAGCAUAGCUGUUGGGACCCGAAAGAUGGUGAACUAUGCCUGAAUAGGGUGAAGCCAGAGGAAACUCUGGUGGAGGCUCGCAGCGGUUCUGACAUGCAAAUCGAUCGUCAAAUUUGGGCAUAGGGGCGAAAGACUAAUCGAACUAUCUAGUAGCUGGUUCCUGCCGAAGUUUCCCUCAGGAUAGCAGUAACGUUUUCAGUUUUAUGAGGUAAAGCGAAUGAUUAGAGGCCUGGGGGUUGAAACAACCUUCACCUAUUCUCAAACUUUAAAUAUGUAAGAAGUCCUUGUUACUUAGUUGAACGUGGACAUUUGAAUGUAUCGUUACUAGUGGGCCAUUUUUGGUAAGCAGAACUGGCGAUGCGGGAUGAACCGAACGCGGAGUUAAGGUGCCGGAAUGCACGCUCAUCAGACACCACAAAAGGUGUUGGUUCAUCUAG
rnacentral:rRNA from 1 species